GAAGAACCUUUAUGACAUUAUAGUGAAUGCUUUUGUUCAAACUUUAUAAUGUCAUAGUUCUAUUAUAUUUCAAUAUAGAGAGGGAAACAUUGAAGAUCAAUUGUACGUUGGGGAUAACAUGUCGAUGACUCCCAAGAGCUCUUAUUGAUGGAGUCGUUUGGCACCUCGAUGUCGACUCAUCACAUCCUGGGGUUGAAGAAGGUCCCAAGGGUUCGAUUGUUCGCCGAUGAAAGUGGUACGUGAGUUGGGUUUAGAACAUCACGAGACCGUUCGAUUCCUAUCUACCGUUGGUGUUGAAAAUUGUUGGAGUA
rfam:Picea glauca, whole genome shotgun sequence.